GUGUCAGCAGCCGCGGUAAGACGAACCGUGCGAACGUUGUUCGGAAUCACUGGGCUUAAAGGGCGCGUAGGCGGGCCGCCGCGUCCGGGGUGAAAUCCUCCCGCUCAACGGGAGAACGGCCUCGGAUACGGGCGGCCUGGAGGCGGGUAGGGGCACGCGGAACUGUGGGUGGAGCGGUGAAAUGCGUUGAGAUCCACAGGAACUCCGGUGGCGAAGGCGGCGUGCUGGACCCGAUCUGACGCUGAGGCGCGAAAGCCAGGGGAGCGAACGGGAUUAGAUACCCUGGUAGUCC
rnacentral:rRNA from 1 species